rnacentral:rRNA from 1 species
UACGUAGGGGGCAAGCGUUGUCCGGAUUUAUUGGGCGUAAAGGGCGCGUAAGCGGUUUCUUAAGUUUGAAGUGACAGUGGGUGGCUUAACUACCCAAGGCCUUUGAAAACUGGGGAACUUGAGGACCAGAGAGGGACAUAGAAUUCCGGGUGGAGUGGUGAAAUGCGUAGAUAUCCGGAGGAAUACCAAAGGCGAAGGCAGUGUCCUGGAGGGUUAACUGACGCUGAGGCGCGAAAGCUAGGGGAGCGAACAGG